rnacentral:lncRNA from 10 species
AGCCACUCCUUCCUUUGGGUUGUUAAGAGUAAGCUCUGCGAUAGGAGUGAAGAGUGUCACUAAGUGAGAAUCAGCUACGGUGGCAGCUCGUCCUAGAAAUGUCACGUCUCAUCCUGCCUCCGUGUGCUGGCCUAUCCAAGUUCAGGUUUCAGGCAGGCAGCUGGACUCAGCAGGAAGAGUCUCUUUUUCUGAAAGCUAAAAUGACUCUUCAGCUUGAGAGCGGCUGUCCUCCUUGUUUUCUUUGAAAGAAGAUCAUUUCCUGAAGGCCGAGAGAUCCAGGCUCUCCAAAAGCCUCUCUCUGUGGGUGAGACCCGCCAAAGAAUGCAAGGAUGAGAAACAAAACCAAAUCUCAGAGGAAUGAAAGAAUCCUUUUCACAUGGACAUUAGUUACAUUCAUUAAUGGCUCACACAUGAGUUCAGGCCCAUGUUUUGAUCUGUAGGAUUGUUUUCAAUUGAGCUCUAGAAACAGACCCUGAGAUCAGG